GCCUACAUGAAGCUGGAGUUGCUAGUAAUCGCAGAUCAGCAUGCCGCGGUGAAUACGUUCCCGGGCCUUGUACACACCGCCCGUCACACCAUGGGAGCCGGUAAUACCCGAAGUCAGUAGUCCAACCUCGUGAGGACGCUGCCGAAGGUAGGAUUGGCGACUGGGGUGAAGUCGUAACAAGGUAAC
rnacentral:rRNA from 1 species